AUUGAACGCUGGCGGCAGGCCUAACACAUGCAAGUCGAACGGUAGCACAGAGAGCUUGCUCUUGGGUGACGAGUGGCGGACGGGUGAGUAAUGUCUGGGAAACUGCCUGAUGGAGGGGGAUAACUACUGGAAACGGUAGCUAAUACCGCAUAACGUCGCAAGACCAAAGAGGGGGACCUUCGGGCCUCUUGCCAUCAGAUGUGCCCAGAUGGGAUUAGCUAGUAGGUGGGGUAAUGGCUCACCUAGGCGACGAUCCCUAGCUGGUCUGAGAGGAUGACCAGCCACACUGGAACUGAGACACGGUCCAGACUCCUACGGGAGGCAGCAGUGGGGAAUAUUGCACAAUGGGCGCAAGCCUGAUGCAGCCAUGCCGCGUGUAUGAAGAAGGCCUUCGGGUUGUAAAGUACUUUCAGCGAGGAGGAAGGUGGUGAGGUUAAUAACCUCAUCAAUUGACGUUACUCGCAGAAGAAGCACCGGCUAACUCCGUGCCAGCAGCCGCCGUAAGAC
rnacentral:rRNA from 1 species